CCCAAGUCUCCCUGGCGCGCUCGGUAGACCGAGUUCGGCCCACCUCCAGCCCCUUCUAGACCGCCGGUGGAUGCCCUCAGCGCGCACAGCGGUGUGGAGGGAACCCGCGAGCCGGGAAGGAGCUACACAGAAAAUGAGAGAGCAAGAGAGCAAGAAACAUUCUACCAACUGGGUAACUCCUCAGAUGCCUGCAACAACUGGAGUUGGAGCAGGAUAAAGCCAGGAACCAGGAACUUCAUCCAGGUCUCCAGUGAUACUGGAUGAUUCUGGUGGGCAAAUCCAGUACAUGGAAUCCUUCAGCCGACAUGCAAAUGUAUCGACCAUGGAUAGAGGGGGAGGAGAAGAAGGGGAGGCAAAG